ACACAGGUGCGCAACUGGCGAUAGGCGCGCGGCAGCCACCUGCCGUCCGUGCUGACGUGGCCCCCCGCUCCCCGCGAGCGGGACAACCACUGGGAAGCGCACCGCCCGCUCUACGGGUGUUCAGCCGUUCGCCUGGGCAGUCCCU
rnacentral:ncRNA from 1 species